rnacentral:rRNA from 1 species
GAUGAACGCUGGCGGCGUGCCUAAUACAUGCAAGUCGAGCGAACAGACGAGGAGCUUGCUCCUCUGACGUUAGCGGCGGACGGGUGAGUAACACGUGGAUAACCUACCUAUAAGACUGGGAUAACUUCGGGAAACCGGAGCUAAUACCGUAUAAUAUAUUGAACCGCAUGGUUCAAUAGUGAAAGACGGUUUUGCUGUCACUUAUAGAUGGAUCCGCGCCGCAUGAGCUAGUUGGUAAGGUAACGGCUUACCAAGGCAACGAUGCGUAGCCGACCUGAGAGGGUGGUCGGCCACACGGGAACUGAGACACGCACCAGACUCCUACGGGACGCCGCAGUAGGGAAUCUUCCGCAAUGGGCGAAAGCAUGACGGAGCAAGGGCGAGUGAGUGAUGACGGUGUUCGGAUCGUGAAACCCUGUUAUUAGUGAAGAACAAAUGUGUAAGUAAAUAUACACGUCUUGACGGUACUUAAUCAGAAAGCCACGGCUAACUACGUG